UCAGAUCUCUAUCGUUUCUUACGGUAAAGAGAAGCCGGCUGUUCUGGGUCAUGACGAAGCGGCAUACUCCAAAAACCGUCGUGCCGUACUGGUAUACUAAGAGAGUCACAUGAUUAGUAGCUUCAGAUCUCACCUGUUG
rfam:Pantoea sp. PSNIH2, complete genome.